rnacentral:misc_RNA from 1 species
GAUGAAGAACGUAGCGAAAUGCGAUAAGUAGUGUGAAUUGCAGAAUUCAGUGAAUCAUCGAAUCUUUGAACGCAGAUUGCGCCCCUUGGUAUUCCGAGGGGCAUGCCUGUUCGAGCGUCAUUAUAACCCCUCAAGCUCAGCUUGGUGUUGGGGCCUGCUGCACUGGCAGCCCUUAAAAUCAGUGGCGGCGCCAUCUGGCUCUAAGCGUAGUAAUUCUUCUCGCUAUGGAGUCCUGGUGGAUGCUUGCCAUCAACCCCCAAUUUUUCUAUGGUUGACCUCGGAUCAGGUAGGGAUACCCGCUGAACUUAAGCAUAUCAAUAAGCGGAGGA